ACGCUCGACACCUACGGGAGGCAGCAGUGGGGAAUAUUGCACAAUGGGGGAAACCCUGAUGCAGCGACGCCGCGUGGAGGAAGAAGGUCUUCGGAUUGUAAACUCCUGUUGUUGGGGAAAAAGAGGAUGGUACCCAACAAGGAAGUGACGGCUAACUACGUGCAAGCAGCCGCGGUAAUCUGAGCGGGCUGGCAAGGC
rnacentral:rRNA from 1 species